rnacentral:rRNA from 1 species
UACGUAGGCAGCGAGCGUUUGUUCGGAGUUACUGGGCGUAAAGGGUGUGUAGGCGGUUGUUUAAGUUUGGUGUGAAAUCUCCCGGCUCAACUGGGAGGGUGCGCCGAAUACUGAAUGACUUGGAGUGCGGGAGAGGAAAGUGGAAUUCCUGGUGUAGCGGUGAAAUGCGUAGAUAUCCGGAGGAAGACCGGUGGCGAAGGCGGCCUGCUGGGCAGUUUCUGACACUGAUGCGCGCAGCGUGGGGAGCAAACAG